GGAUGAACGCUGGCGGCGUGCCUAAUACAUGCAAGUCGAGCGAACAGACGAGGAGCUUGCUCCUCUGACGUUAGCGGCGGACGGGUGAGUAACACGUGGAUAACCUACCUAUAAGACUGGGAUAACUUCGGGAAACCGGAGCUAAUACCGGAUAAUAUAUUGAACCGCAUGGUUCAAUAGUGUAAGACGGUUUUGCUGUCACUUAUAGAUGGAUCCGCGCCGCAUUAGCUAGUUGGUAAGGUAACGGCUUACCAAGGCAACGAUGCGUAGCCGACCUGAGAGGGUGAUCGGCCACACUGGAACUGAGACACGGUCCAGACUCCUACGGGAGGCAGCAGUAGGGAAUCUUCCGCAAUGGGCGAAAGCCUGACGGAGCAACGCCGCGUGAGUGAUGAAGGUCUUCGGAUCGUAAAACUCUGUUAUUAGGGAAGAACAAAUGUGUAAGUAACUAUGCACGUCUUGACGGUACCUAAUCAGAAAGCCACGGCUAACUACGUG
rnacentral:rRNA from 1 species